rnacentral:rRNA from 1 species
GACGAACGCUGGCGGCGUGCUUAACACAUGCAAGUCGAACGGAAAGGCCCUGCUUUUGUGGGGUGCUCGAGUGGCGAACGGGUGAGUAACACGUGAGUAACCUGCCCUUGACUUUGGGAUAACUUCAGGAAACUGGGGCUAAUACCGGAUAGGAGCUCCUGCUGCAUGGUGGGGGUUGGAAAGUUUCGGCGGUUGGGGAUGGACUCGCGGCUUAUCAGCUUGUUGGUGGGGUAGUGGCUUACCAAGGCUUUGACGGGUAGCCGGCCUGAGAGGGUGACCGGCCACAUUGGGACUGAGAUACGGCCCAGACGCCUGCGGGAGGCAGCAGUGGGGAAUAUUGCACAAUGGGCGGAAGCCUGAUGCAGCAGCGCCGCGUGCGGGAUGACGGCCUUCGGGUUGUAAACCGCUUUCGCCUGUGACGAAGCGUGAGUGACGGUAAUGGGUAAAGAAGCACCGGCUAACUACGUG